AAAUUGAAGAGUUUGAUCAUGGCUCAGAUUGAACGCUGGCGGCAGGCCUAACACAUGCAAGUCGAACGGUAACAGGAAGCAGCUUGCUGCUUCGCUGACGAGUGGCGGACGGGUGAGUAAUGUCUGGGAAACUGCCUGAUGGAGGGGGAUAACUACUGGAAACGGUAGCUAAUACCGCAUAACGUCGCAAGACCAAAGAGGGGGACUUUCGGGCCUCUUGCCAUCGGAUGUGCCCAGAUGGGAUUAGCUAGUAGGUGGGGUAA
rnacentral:rRNA from 1 species